rnacentral:rRNA from 1 species
GGGGAAUCUUCCGCAAUGGGCGAAAGCCUGACGGAGCAACGCCGCGUGAGGGAUGAAGGCCUCUGGGCUGUAAACCUCUUUUCUCAAGGAAGAAGAUCUGACGGUACUUGAGGAAUAAGCCACGGCUAAUUCCGUGCCAGCAGCCGCGGUAAUACGGGAGAGGCAAGCGUUAUCCGGAAUUAUUGGGCGUAAAGCGUCCGCAGGCGGCCUUGUAAGUCUGUCGUCAAAGCGUGGAGCUUAACUCCAUUUAGGCGAUGGAAACUGCAAGAGCUAGAGUGUGGUAGGGGCAGAGGGAAUUCCCGGUGUAGCGGUGAAAUGCGUAGAUAUCGGGAAGAACACCAGUGGCGAAGGCGCUCUGCUGGGCCAUAACUGACGCUCAUGGACGAA